AUGCAAGUCGAACGCGAAAGUCCCGCAAGGGAUCGGUAGAGUGGCAAACGGGUGAGUAACACGUGGGUGACCUGCCUUCGAGCGGGGGAUAACGUCCCGAAAGGGACGCUAAUACCGCAUGACAUCCUGCCUUUGAAGAGGUGGAGAUCAAAGCUGGGGAUCGCAAGACCUAGCACUCGAAGAGGGGCCCGCGCCCGAUUAGCUAGUUGGUGGGGUAACGGCUCACCAAGGCAACGAUCGGUAGCCGGCCUGAGAGGGCGGACGGCCACACUGGGACUGAGACACGGCCCAGACUCCUACGGGAGGCAGCAGUGGGGAAUUGUUCGCAAUGGGCGCAAGCCUGACGACGCAACGCCGCGUGGAGGACGAAGAUCUUCGGGUCGUAAACUCCUUUCGAUCGAGACGAAUAGCCCCUGGGCUAAUCACCAGGGGAAUGACGGUACCGAGAGAAGAAGCCCCGGCUAACUCCGUGCCAGCAGCCGCGGUAAUACGGGGGGGGCAAGCGUUGUUCGGAAUUACUGGGCGUAAAGGGCUCGUAGGCGGCCAACUAAGUCAGACGUGAAAUCCCUCGGCUUAACCGGGGAACUGCGUCUGAUACUGGAUGGCUUGAGUUCGGGAGAGGGAUGUGGAAUUCCAGGUGUAGCGGUGAAAUGCGUAGAUAUCUGGAGGAACACCGGUUGGCGAAGGCGGCAUCCUGGACCGACACUGACGCUUAUGAGCGAAAGCCAGGGGAGCAAACGGGAUUAGAUACCCCGGUAGUCCUGGCCCUAAACGAUGAAUGCUUGGUGUGGCGGGUAUCGAUCCCUGCCGUGCCGAAGCUAACGCAUUAAGCA
rnacentral:rRNA from 1 species